GAUGAACGCUAGCUACAGGCUUAACACAUGCAAGUCGAGGGGCAGCGGGAUUGAAGCUUGCUUCAAUUGCCGGCGACCGGCGCACGGGUGAGUAACGCGUAUCCAACCUUCCGUACACUCAGGGAUAGCCUUUCGAAAGAAAGAUUAAUACCUGAUGGUAUCUUAAGCACACAUGUAAUUAAGAUUAAAGAUUUAUCGGUGUACGAUGGGGAUGCGUUCCAUUAGGUAGUAGGCGGGGUAACGGCCCACCUAGCCAACGAUGGAUAGGGGUUCUGAGAGGAAGGUCCCCCACAUUGGAACUGAGACACGGUCCAAACUCCUACGGGAGGCAGCAGUGAGGAAUAUUGGUCAAUGGACGAGAGUCUGAACCAGCCAAGUAGCGUGAAGGAUGAAGGUCCUACGGAUUGUAAACUUCUUUUAUAAGGGAAUAAACCCUCCACGUGUGGGAGCUUGUAUGUACCUUAUGAAUAAGCAUCGGCUAACUCCGUGCCAGCAGCCG
rnacentral:rRNA from 1 species